rnacentral:tRNA from 1 species
GCGGUAAUAGCUCAGCUGGUAGAGCGAUACCUUGCCAAGGUAUAGGUCGCGAGUUCGAACCUCGCUUACCGCUCCA